CGGUCAGGGAGGAGGGCGGGGGCCGGGACCGGGAGCUCGGGGCACUGCGCCUGCGCCGUCGCCACUGGUCAGCCCGCGCGAGGGGUCGGCGUUCAUUCCUGCCGCUGCCGCCGCCGCCGCCGAGGUCCCGCACCAGUCAUGGCGCAGAUCCUCCCUGUUCGCUUUCAGGAGCACUUCCAGCUCCAAAACCUUGGAAUUAAUCCAGCUAACAUUGGAUUCAGCACACUGACCAUGGAAUCUGACAAGUUCAUAUGUAUCCGAGAGAAAGUUGGUGAGCAGGCACAGGUCACGAUCAUUGACAUGAGUGACCCAAUGGCUCCGAUCCGACGGCCUAUCUCUGCAGAGAGUGCCAUCAUGAAUCCAGCCUCUAAGGUGAUAGCUCUGAAAGCUGGGAAGACACUUCAGAUCUUUAAUAUUGAGAUGAAGAGUAAAAUGAAGGCUCAUACUAUGGCAGAAGAAGUGAUUUUCUGGAAAUGGGUUUCUGUGAACACUGUUGCCUUGGUGACCGAGACCGCGGUCUACCACUGGAGCAUGGAAGGUGACUCCCAGCCCAUGAAGAUGUUUGAUAGACAUACCAGUCUGGCGGGCUGCCAGGUGAUUCACUACCGGACUGAUGAGUACCAGAAGUGGCUGCUGCUCGUAGGCAUCUCGGCUCAGCAAAACCGUGUGGUUGGAGCAAUGCAGCUCUACUCUGUGGAUAGGAAGGUUUCACAACCCAUAGAAGGCCAUGCUGCGGCUUUUGCAGAGUUCAAGAUGGAGGGGAAUGCCAAGCCUGCCACCCUUUUCUGCUUUGCUGUACGUAAUCCCACAGGAGGCAAGUUGCACAUCAUUGAAGUUGGACAGCCUGCAGCGGGAAACCAACCUUUUGUAAAGAAAGCAGUGGAUGUGUUUUUUCCUCCAGAGGCACAGAAUGAUUUUCCAGUGGCUAUGCAGAUUGGAGCUAAACAUGGUGUUAUUUACUUGAUCACAAAGUAUGGCUAUCUUCAUCUGUACGACCUAGAGUCUGGCGUGUGCAUCUGCAUGAACCGUAUUAGUGCUGACACAAUAUUUGUCACUGCUCCACACAAACCAACCUCUGGAAUUAUUGGUGUCAACAAAAAGGGACAGGUACUGUCAGUUUGUGUUGAGGAAGAUAACAUUGUGAAUUAUGCAAGCAACGUGCUUCAGAAUCCAGACCUUGGUCUGCGUUUGGCCGUUCGUAGUAACCUGGCUGGGGCAGAGAAGUUGUUUGUGAGAAAAUUCAAUACCCUCUUUGCACAGGGCAGCUAUGCUGAAGCCGCCAAAGUUGCAGCGUCUGCACCAAAGGGAAUCCUGCGUACCAGAGAGACGGUCCAGAAAUUCCAGAGUAUACCCGCUCAGUCUGGCCAGGCUUCUCCAUUGCUGCAGUACUUCGGAAUCCUGCUCGACCAGGGUCAGCUCAAUAAACUUGAAUCCUUAGAACUUUGCCAUCUGGUUCUUCAGCAGGGGUGUAAGCAACUCCUAGAGAAGUGGCUGAAAGAAGAUAAGCUGGAGUGCUCAGAGGAGCUCGGAGACUUGGUCAAAACCACUGACCCCAUGCUCGCUCUGAGUGUGUACCUUCGGGCAAAUGUGCCAAGCAAAGUGAUCCAGUGUUUUGCAGAAACAGGCCAAUUCCAGAAAAUUGUGCUCUAUGCCAAAAAGGUUGGGUACACCCCAGACUGGAUCUUUCUGCUGAGGGGUGUAAUGAAGAUCAGUCCGGAACAGGGCCUGCAGUUUUCUCGAAUGCUAGUGCAGGACGAGGAGCCGCUGGCCAACAUUAGCCAGAUUGUGGACAUUUUCAUGGAAAACAGUUUAAUUCAGCAGUGUACUUCCUUCUUAUUGGAUGCCUUGAAGAAUAAUCGCCCAGCUGAGGGACUCCUGCAGACAUGGCUGUUGGAGAUGAACCUUGUUCAUGCACCCCAGGCCCAACUCUGUGACCACAUGGGCUUGGCCCAGCUGCAACAGGGGAGAAUGAAGCCUUGUGCAAAGGGCCUAAGAUGGCUUGAAGGACAGCCAGGGAUCUUGGGACCCACAAGCACUGCUGCCACCACAGAGGUUGCAGAUGCCAUCCUUGGAAAUAAAAUGUUUACUCAUUACGACCGGGCCCACAUUGCCCAGCUCUGUGAGAAGGCAGGCCUCCUGCAGCAAGCACUGGAGCACUACACCGACCUCUAUGACAUCAAGAGGGCUGUGGUCCACACUCACCUCCUCAAUCCCGAGUGGCUUGUCAAUUUCUUUGGCUCCUUAUCGGUGGAGGAUUCUGUGGAGUGUCUGCGUGCCAUGCUGUCUGCUAACAUCAGACAGAACCUUCAGCUGUGUGUGCAGGUGGCCUCUAAGUACCACGAGCAGCUGGGCACGCAGGCCCUGGUGGAGCUCUUUGAAUCCUUCAAGAGUUACAAAGGCCUCUUCUACUUCCUGGGCUCAAUCGUGAACUUCAGCCAAGACCCAGAUGUGCAUCUGAAAUACAUUCAGGCUGCCUGUAAGACAGGGCAGAUCAAGGAGGUGGAGAGGAUAUGCCGAGAGAGCAGCUGCUACAACCCAGAGCGUGUGAAGAACUUCCUGAAGGAGGCCAAGCUCACAGACCAGCUUCCCCUCAUCAUCGUGUGUGAUCGUUUUGGCUUUGUCCAUGACCUUGUCCUAUAUUUAUACCACAACAACCUGCAGAGGUACAUUGAGAUCUACGUGCAGAAGGUCAACCCUAGCCGGACCCCAGCUGUGAUUGGAGGGCUGCUUGAUGUGGAUUGUUCUGAGGAAGUGAUUAAACACUUAAUCAUGGCAGUGAGAGGACAGUUCUCUACUGAUGAGUUGGUGGCUGAAGUAGAAAAAAGAAAUAGGCUCAAGCUGCUGCUUCCCUGGCUGGAGUCCCAGAUUCAGGAAGGCUGUGAGGAGCCUGCCACUCACAAUGCACUGGCUAAAAUCUACAUCGACAGCAACAACAGCCCCGAGUGCUUCCUGAGAGAGAAUGCCUACUAUGACAGCAGCGUGGUGGGCCGCUACUGUGAGAAGCGAGACCCCCAUCUGGCCUGUGUUGCCUAUGAGCGGGGGCAGUGUGACCUUGAGCUCAUCAAGGUGUGCAAUGAGAAUUCUCUGUUCAAAAGCGAGGCCCGCUACCUGGUAUGCAGAAAGGAUCCGGAGCUCUGGGCUCACGUCCUUGAGGAGACCAACCCAUCCAGGAGACAGCUAAUUGACCAGGUGGUACAGACAGCGUUGUCAGAAACACGGGAUCCUGAAGAGAUUUCGGUCACUGUCAAAGCCUUUAUGACAGCCGACCUGCCUAAUGAACUGAUUGAACUGCUGGAGAAGAUAGUUCUGGAUAACUCUGUCUUCAGCGAGCACAGGAAUCUACAGAAUCUGUUGAUCCUGACUGCCAUCAAGGCAGAUCGCACACGGGUCAUGGAGUACAUCAGCCGCCUGGACAACUAUGACGCACUGGACAUCGCGAGCAUCGCUGUCAGCAGCGCGCUGUAUGAGGAGGCCUUCACCGUUUUCCACAAGUUUGAUAUGAAUGCCUCAGCAAUCCAGGUCCUGAUCGAGCACAUUGGAAACCUGGACCAGGCAUAUGAGUUUGCGGAGAGAUGCAAUGAGCCUGCUGUGUGGAGUCAGCUGGCCCAAGCCCAGCUCCAGAAAGAUUUGGUGAAGGAAGCCAUCAACUCCUAUAUCAGAGGGGACGACCCUUCCUCUUACCUGGAAGUUGUUCAGUCAGCCAGCAGGAGCAACAACUGGGAGGAUCUAGUUAAAUUUCUGCAGAUGGCCAGGAAAAAGGGCCGUGAGUCCUAUAUAGAGACUGAACUUAUUUUUGCCUUGGCUAAAACCAGCCGUGUUUCUGAGCUAGAAGAUUUUAUUAAUGGACCCAACAAUGCCCACAUCCAGCAGGUUGGAGACCGCUGUUACGAGGAGGGAAUGUACGAGGCUGCCAAGCUGCUCUAUAGCAAUGUUUCUAACUUUGCCCGCCUGGCUUCCACCUUGGUUCACCUCGGUGAGUAUCAGGCAGCAGUGGACAACAGCCGCAAGGCCAGCAGCACCCGGACAUGGAAGGAGGUGUGCUUUGCCUGUGUGGAUGGACAGGAGUUCCGCUUUGCACAGCUGUGUGGUCUUCACAUCGUCAUUCAUGCAGAUGAGCUGGAGGAGCUGAUGUGCUAUUACCAGGAUCGUGGCUACUUUGAGGAGCUGAUCUUGCUGUUGGAAGCGGCCCUGGGCCUGGAGCGGGCCCACAUGGGCAUGUUCACUGAGCUGGCCAUCCUCUACUCCAAAUUCAAGCCACAGAAGAUGCUGGAGCAUCUGGAGCUUUUCUGGUCCCGUGUCAACAUCCCAAAGGUGCUGAGGGCUGCAGAGCAGGCACACCUGUGGGCUGAGCUGGUGUUCCUCUAUGACAAGUACGAGGAGUAUGACAAUGCUGUGCUCACCAUGAUGAGCCACCCCACUGAGGCCUGGAAGGAGGGUCAGUUCAAGGACAUCAUUACCAAGGUUGCCAACGUCGAGCUCUGUUACAGAGCCCUGCAGUUCUAUUUGGAUUACAAACCACUGCUCAUCAAUGACCUGCUGCUGGUGCUUUCACCCCGGCUGGACCACACCUGGACAGUCAGUUUCUUUUCAAAGGUGUCCAGAAGGUGCCCUUGGCUCCAGAGCUGGACCAUUCAAGUGGAUGGCACGCACGUGCCCACCUGUGCCCCUGCCUAGUGUCCCCAUAACAAGCUUGGCCAAGUGCCUUGACGGUUCCCUCAACUUGUCAGGCAGGUCAGCUGCCCCUGGUGAAGCCUUACCUGCGGUCAGUCCAGAGCCACAACAACAAGAGUGUGAAUGAGGCACUCAACCACCUGCUGACAGAGGAGGAGGACUAUCAGGGCUUAAGGGCAUCUAUCGAUGCCUAUGACAACUUUGACAACAUCAGCCUGGCUCAGCAGCUGGAGAAGCAUCAGCUGAUGGAGUUCAGGUGCAUUGCGGCCUAUCUGUACAAGGGCAAUAACUGGUGGGCCCAGAGCGUGGAGCUCUGCAAGAAGGAUCAUCUCUACAAGGAUGCCAUGCAGCAUGCUGCAGAGUCGCGGGAUGCUGAGCUGGCCCAGAAGUUGCUGCAGUGGUUCCUGGAGGAAGGCAAGAGGGAGUGCUUCGCAGCUUGUCUCUUCACCUGCUAUGACCUGCUUCGCCCAGACAUGGUGCUUGAACUGGCCUGGAGGCACAACCUCGUGGACUUGGCCAUGCCCUACUUCAUCCAGGUGAUGAGGGAGUACCUGAGCAAGGUGGACAAACUGGAUGCCUUGGAGAGUCUGCGCAAGCAAGAGGAGCAUGUGACAGAGCCUGCCCCUCUCGUGUUUGAUUUUGAUGGGCAUGAAUGAGACCCAGCUGAUUGCACUAAGCCCUGCCGUGGGCCCAGCCCCUGCCAGCUUCCCCUAUGGAUAUGCCUCUGCUCCCAACUUCGCCAGCCUCCAAUGUACAACUUCCGCGUAUAGUGGGCGUUGUCACCACCCACCCUACCUGCAGAGUUACUAACUUCUCCAAGGAGCGUGUCACUCCAGCAGCACAGGGGACGCAAUGGGAGGCAGGGACACCUGGACAAUAUUUAUUUUUGCUGAAACCCAAUGACGGCAACCUCUGAGCCAUCCCAGAGCCUGGGGAGGCCAGGGUAGAGGCUGACGGCGCAAGACCAGCUUUAGCCGACAACAGAGACUGGACUGUGGGCCCUCCUGCUGGAGCCAGGCCUUCCUCCUGGGCGCCUCCGACUGGCUGGAGCUGCCCCCUCCAGGCCAGUUUGAAGACUACAUGAACACGUCUUGUUUGGAGGUACCGGACCUCAUAAAAGGACUCUCAGCCUCUUGGCAAUCAUAAAUAUUAAAGUCGGUUUAUCCAGGCAAA